GAGUUUGAUCGUGGCUCAGGAUGAACGCUGGCGGCGUGCCUAAUACAUGCAAGUCGAACGAACAGAUAAGGAGCUUGCUCCUUUGACGUUAGCGGCGGACGGGUGAGUAACACGUGGGUAACCUACCUAUAAGACUGGGAAUAACUCCGGGAAACCGGGGCUAAUGCCGGAUAACAUGUUGAACCGCAUGGUUCUACAGUGAAAGACGGUCUUGCUGUCACUUAUAGAUGGACCCGCGCCGUAUUAGCUAGUUGGUGGGGUAACGGCCUACCAAGGCGACGAUACGUAGCCGACCUGAGAGGGUGAUCGGCCACACUGGAACUGAGACACGGUCCAGACUCCUACGGGAGGCAGCAGUAGGGAAUCUUCCGCAAUGGGCGAAAGCCCGACGGAGCAACGCCGCGUGAGUGAUGAAGGUCUUCGGAUCGUAAAGCUCUGUUGUUAGGGAAGAACAAAUGUGUAAGUAACUGUGCAUAUCUUGACGGUACCUAACCAGAAAGCCACGGCUAACUACGUGCCAGCAGCCGCCGCCGU
rnacentral:rRNA from 1 species